AGUGAACGCUGGCGGUAGGCCUAACACAUGCGAGUCGAACGGCAGCACAGUAAGAGCUUGCUCUUACGGGUGGCGAGUGGCGGACGGGUGAGGAAUACAUCGGAAUCUACUUUUUCGUGGGGGAUAACGUAGGGAAACUUACGCUAAUACCGCAUACGACCUACGGGUGAAAGCAGGGGAUCUUCGGACCUUGCGCGAUUGAAUGAGCCGAUGUCGGAUUAGCUAGUUGGCGGGGUAAAGGCCCACCAAGGCGACGAUCCGUAGCUGGUCUGAGAGGAUGAUCAGCCACACUGGAACUGAGACACGGUCCAGACUCCUACGGGAGGCAGCAGUGGGGAAUAUUGGACAAUGGGCGCAAGCCUGAUCCAGCCAUACCGCGUGGGUGAAGAAGGCCUUCGGGUUGUAAAGCCCUUUUGUUGGGAAAGAAAAGCAGCAGGUUAAUACCCCGCUGUUCCGACGGUACCCAAAGAAUAAGCACCGGCUAACUUCGUG
rnacentral:rRNA from 1 species